AUACUUUAGCGGAAUUUCAAUUGUAAUGUCUUUCCACUACAUUUUCUGACGUUCGCGGAAGGCGCGUUCAAUUUCACGAUUUGCUUCUUUUCUUUUCAAGUCUUCUCGCUUAUCGUAUUUCUUCUUACCUUUUGCAAGCCCGAUCAGCAGCUUUGCAUAGCCAUUUUUUAUAUACAGCUUCAGAGGGACUAAUGCGUAGCCUGCCUCUUUUGUUUCCCCGAUUAAUUUAUUGAUUUCUCUUUUAUGAAGCA
rnacentral:antisense_RNA from 1 species